GAUGAACGCUAGCUACAGGCUUAACACAUGCAAGUCGAGGGGCAGCAUGAACUUAGCUUGCUAAGUUUGAUGGCGACCGGCGCACGGGUGAGUAACACGUAUCCAACCUGCCUCAUACUCGGGGAUAGCCUUUCGAAAGAAAGAUUAAUACCCGAUGUUAUAGUCCUACCGCAUGAUGGGAUUAUUAAAGAAUUUCGGUAUGGGAUGGGGAUGCGUUCCAUUAGUUAGUUGGCGGGGUAACGGCCCACCAAGACAACGAUGGAUAGGGGUUCUGAGAGGAAGGUCCCCCACAUUGGAACUGAGACACGGUCCAA
rnacentral:rRNA from 1 species